UACAGAGGUCUCAAGCGUUGUUCGGAUUCAUUGGGCGUAAAGGGCGCGUAGGCGGCGGGGUCAGUCGGGUGUGAAAUCUUGGGGCUUAACCCCGAAACGGCACUCGAAACUGCCCGGCUGGAGGGCCGGAGAGGAGAUCGGAAUUCACGGUGUAGCAGUGAAAUGCGUAGAUAUCGGGAGGAACACCAGUGGCGAAGGCGACUACCUGGCCUGUUCUUGACGCUGAGGCGCGAAAGCUAGGGGAGCAAACGGG
rnacentral:rRNA from 1 species